CUUCUGGUUAGCAGGGGGAUUCUUUACCACUGAGCCACCUGGGAAGCCCUGCUUCAGGAUACUCUUGCUUAUUUGCAUUGUUUAGGACUUAUUCCCCUAAUCAUAUAUAAUUACAAGGGAGACUGAGGAAUUGUCUUUAGUUUGGGAGGCCCUGUGCCUGGCUGAAAAUUCUAACCUGACUGGGAAAAUGGAUAUUUGGAGUUAACUAGCAAUUUCUGCCACAUUCUGAUUGAACCAUGGUGCCAUUGGGAGCUGCCUUCUUGCAGGAACACAGAUUCAUCAAAUAAUAUUGAUCUGAACAGUCUCUGCGUGAUAACUGCACCUCCAGAAUAAAGGCCGACUUCUCAACCACACUGGGACACACUAUUAAUGAUUACAUUGUCAAUGCAAAGUCAAAAAACAAAAACUGUCCCUCCACCUCUCACUGUAUUUCUUCCCCUCAUCACAUUUUUAGGAGAGUUUGCUCUCACUGACUCACUUCCUCACUUCUUAUUUUUAUCUUCAACCUUCUCUAAAAUGGAUUGUCCCUGACUACUUCACUGUUCUUGCAAACACUAACAGUGACCCAUGAAGCCAAAUUAAUCAGGUGCUUUCUGUCAUCUUCCUUGGUUUCUCAGCAUCUGGCAAAGCUGACACUUCCUCUUUCUUGAAAUGCUGUCUUCCUUUGGAUUCCAUGACACAACAUUGUUCCAGAAGCUUUGUGUAAAUCUCCUUUGUGUACUUCUCCUCUAUCAGAACACAAAAUGGUGGAUCUCCUAAGAGCUCAGUUCUAAGUCCUUCUCUCCUCCACAAUUAUACAUAGAUAAACUCAUCUAUUGCAGGCUUUAAUUAUCACAUGUGCUGAAGACCCCCAAAACUCUAUCUGUAAUUUGAUCUUUAUUCUGUUUUGCAGUAUCUUCCUUUUCUUUCAGUGUCAGAGUAAACAAGUAACUUGUAUUUGACUAGCCAAAGCUGGUUAUUAUCCAUCUGUAUGCACAGAAAUUUUAAAACACAUAUGAGCUUGUCAGCAAACCAUAAACCGUGUGCCAUAUUAAGACAAAAAAAUACUAUUAUAGCUUAUAAUCAUAGUAUUUAGGCUUUCAUUUCUUAAACUGUCAACCAAUAUGGCUCCUUUGUGGUUGAGAAGGUUCAUAUGACUGGUUCUAGCCCACUAGUGAGUGAGUUGUGGUUGGAACUACCACGUCAUGGCUAGAACACAUAAUCACCAGUCUGAGACCUUCUGGAGCCAUCUUUUCUCUCUUGACAGCCAACAGUAUUCAAGAUGGUGGCUGGUCUCUUAGCCUAGAUCCUUAAGUGACUAAAAUUAAAUUAGUCACCCCUCUAAACCUCUCCCUCAACCCCUCACAAAGUAAUGAAGGUAGUGUAGUAUGAGGAAGAAAACAAACUGGUCAUUUAGGCACAGACUUUGGGCAUUUGUUGCCAUGACAUAAGCCAUCUGAAAUACCCAUCCCAACUGAUAUACAUGUUGGUACCAGCAGUAAAUGCUAUUGAACAGAAACCUAAACAAACUUGAGGCGCUGGAUUAGGGACUGGCAGCAGGUGGCAAAGAAACUGUUAUCAAAGGAUGGAAGGAUGGUGAUUGAUCUUGUGAAGAAGUGAACCUUUGGUCACCCGACAACUUGGAAGCUACUGCGCACAGCAAGAAUUCCUGUGUGAUGUUCUUAGGCACCCAAGUUCUCCAGGCAGAGGCUCGGUUGGAGGCAGUGGGCCUGGAGCCAUAGCUGGUGAUGUGGGACUUGCUGGCCCCCAGGGAGUGGAAAUAGAAGAAAAAUGGAAAGAAGAGACCAUGUGAGGACCUAGGGAGAAGGCAGCCCUUGACAAGCCAUGGAGAGAUGCUUCACCAGAAACCAACCCUGCUGGCACCUUGACCCUGGGCUUCCAGCCUCCAGAACUGGGAGAAGGUACAUGUCUAUUGAAGCCACGCAGACCAUGGUAUUUUGUUAUACAGCCUCAACAGUCUAAGACUCCUAAGCACCCCAAAUUUAAUGCCUUCUGGGGACCCAAGCAAGUCAGGUGCUACCUGUGUCCUGAACCUCCGGCCACGGGAGUUACAGUCCCAUACUUCCUUCUUGCCAUUAUCCUCCAAAACCAGGCUUCAGCUUCCCUCCCUACAUUCCCUUAGUCCUUGUUCCUAUAUUUCUCCUGGGACUUACUGUCUCAUCCCAUUUGCCCAAAGACCAAUCUGCGGCUCAGAGACAUUCUUUAUGAGGAUUUUUUUUUAAAUGCCAUUUCUCCACUGAUGGUCCCAUGUCAAGCAGCUUCACACAUGAACUAUAAAUUGUUUGUGUAUAUGUGGGAAUGCUCACACCAAGGAAAGAGGCCAAGGUUCACCUGCCCUGUCCUCAAUCUGGAAGGACAGAAACGCUGUACGGAGGCUCUAAAAGCUCCUUAUCGAGGCUGAGCUGAUUCUGAGGAAGGACUGGACCCCUCAAGGUUCUGGAAGUAAUCAUCCUGUUUCCUGGGAGUCCAUUCUCAGCCUGAGGGUUUUCUCUCUCUCUCUUUUUUUGGCCACUCUACCCAGCAUGUGGGGUUCCCUGACUAAGGAUUGAACUUGUG